UUCUAUGUAAUUCUGAACUAUGAAGAAACUGGUGGUUUGUCUCUGACCGAUAAUCCUGACCUGGAAGAAGACAUCCUUCCAGAAAAAGGGAAAAACACAGUUGGAACCGAAAGUCUGAAGGUUGAGUUUUCUCUUGACUGUACUGUAACACUUGUGAUCUUCCUCUCCACGUUGAACCCUACUAAGCUGCAGGCAACUGAGAUGCUUCUAGUACUUCUCAAGAAGGAGAUUAAAGGUGACAAAGAGCAAAUCUUUGUUAUCUCAAAGAGUCUAGAGAAUGGGAUCACACCCGACCAUCCAGACCCCAAUCAGUUCACUCUGCUUUGCAUCUGCAGUGUGAAGGAGCCGGGCAAUAGAGACAAGGACAGAGCAUUCUAG
rnacentral:lncRNA from 2 species